rnacentral:lncRNA from 1 species
CAGAGCUACACAACCCAGGUAAAGUUUUUAAUGGCAUGAUAAACCUGUUUCCCUUUCCCAACAUGGUUAUAUAUACAUAUAUAUGUAUAGUUGUGUGCGUAUGGAUGAUAUUUACUUAGUUUUAUAAAUGGCAUUAUUUUAUCCUUUUCCUGAGUUCAUGUUAGAGUUCACUCACUAACUCGUAUUUGGACGAUCUAUCCCCAC